GUGGCGGCCCGUGGGGUUUACAUCCCAGGCAGAGGUCAGCGUGAUGAGGCUGCUCCAAUCCGGGCGGGCUGCGCGCUGCUAUUCGCCAGGAGUCUGGCCCCAGCCUCCGCCCCGCCCGGGCCCCGCCGCCGCCCGAGGUCUCUGGGAAAGAGAUCAAAAGCUAGAAGAGACUGCCAGAGCAGAGCAGAGACUGGAGGUUUGAGACGCAAAACUGGAAAAGGCUGGGAAUAUGAAGAUGGAGAAUUAAUGCCUAGACCCUUCAUCCUCACUGAAACUUGUGUUUUCAGAGACUCCCUUCCCACCCUCCGUGUGCCAAAAUAGUGUGUCACCCGCUCGGCUUAAGAGAGUUCCUGUCUUGGAAACCCCCAAGUGCCAUUUUCCUUAGCAGGUCUGUCCUCAUGUGACUCCCUAAAAGAAGGGUGACUCGGGGACGGUUACUCCUCCCUGAAAAACCAGUGCCCUUCCACACCAUCCUAGCUCCGCAGUACUGACAUUCCCGUGGAGCUAGGGUUAAUGAAAAUAGAAACAUAACAAUGCCAUUUCCAUUCAUUGAUGACUUUAACUGACC
ensembl:lincRNA Gm2453 predicted gene 2453